CGAGACCUCAGGUCAGGCGGGGCUACCCG
rnacentral:rRNA from 1 species